rnacentral:rRNA from 1 species
GGCCAGCAGCCGCGGUAAUACCGGCAGCCCGAGUGAUGGCCGAUCUUAUUGGGCCUAAAGCGUCCGUAGCUGGCUGCGCAAGUCCGUCGGGAAAUCCACUCGCCCAACGAGUGGGCGUCCGACGGAAACUGCACAGCUUGGGACCGGAAGGCUCGAAGGGUACGUUCGGGGUAGGAGUGAAAUCUCAUAAUCCCGCACGGACCACCGAUGGCGAAAGCACUUCGAGAAAACGGAUCCGACAGUGAGGGACGAAAGCUAAGAUCGCGAACCGGAUUAGAUACCCUAGUAGUCC